UACGGGGGGAGCAAGCGUUGUUCGGAUUUACUGGGCGUAAAGGGCGCGUAGGCGGCGCAACAAGUCACUUGUGAAAUCUCCGGGCUUAACCCGGAGCGGUCAAGUGAUACUGUCGUGCUAGAGUGCAGAAGGGGCAACUGGAAUUCUCGGUGUAGCGGUGAAAUGCGUAGAUAUCGAGAGGAACACCUGCGGCGAAGGCGGGUUGCUGGGCUGACACUGACGCUGAUGCGCGAAAGCGUGGGGGAGCAAACAGG
rnacentral:rRNA from 1 species